rnacentral:rRNA from 1 species
GCAAGUCGAACGAGAAAUUUCCCGCUUGCGGGAGAGAGUAAAGUGGCGCACGGGUGCGUAACGCGUGGAUAAUCUACCCUCGAAUUUGGAACAACAUUGCGAAAGCGAUGCUAAUACCGGAUAAUAUCUUAUUUCCCUCGGGUUUUAAGAUCAAAGACGGCCUCUGCUUGCAAGCUGUCGUUUGAGGAUGAGUCCGCGUACCAUUAGCUUGUUGGUAAGGUAACGGCUUACCAAGGCAUCGAUGGUUAGCUGGUCUGAGAGGAUGAUC